rnacentral:rRNA from 1 species
AACGAACGCUGGCGGCAUGCCUAACACAUGCAAGUCGAACGAUGGUCUUCGGAUCAUAGUGGCGCACGGGUGCGUAACGCGUGGGAAUCUGCCCUUGGGUUCGGAAUAACAGUUGGAAACGACUGCUAAUACCGGAUGAUGUCGAUAAGACCAAAGAUUUAUCGCCCGAGGAUGAGCCCGCGUCGGAUUAGCUAGUUGGUGGGGUAAAGGCCUACCAAGGCGACGAUCCGUAGCUGGUCUGAGAGGAUGAUCAGCCACACUGGGACUGAGACACGGCCCAGACUCCUACGGGAGGCAGCAGUGGGGAAUAUUGGACAAUGGGCGCAAGCCUGAUCCAGCAAUGCCGCGUGAGUGAUGAAGGCCUUAGGGUUGUAAAGCUCUUUUACCCGGGAAGAUAAUGACUGUAUCGGGAGAAUAAGCCCCGGCUAACUCCGUG